UACAGAGGGUGCAAGCGUUGUUCGGAAUUACUGGGCGUAAAGCGCGUGUAGGCUGCAAUGUAAGUCGGAUGUGAAAGCCCUUGGCUCAACCAAGGAAGUGCAUCCGAUACUGCGUCGCUUGAGUGUCGGAGGGGUCGGCGGAAUUCCCGGUGUAGAGGUGAAAUUCGUAGAUAUCGGGAGGAACACCUGUGGCGAAGGCGGCCGACUGGACGAUAACUGACGCUGAGACGCGAAAGCGUGGGUAGCAAACAGG
rnacentral:rRNA from 2 species